AUUGAACGCUGGCGGCAGGCCUAACACAUGCAAGUCGAACGAGUGGCGGACGGGUGAGUAAUGUCUGGGAAACUGCCCGAUAGAGGGGGAUAACUACUGGAAACGGUAGCUAAUACCGCAUACCAUCGGAUGUACCCAGAUGGGAUUAGCUUGUAGGUGAGGUAACGGCUCACAUAGUCGACGAUCACUAGCCGGUCUGAGAGGAUGACCAGCCACCCUGGAACGGAGACACGGUCCAGACCCCUACGGGAGGCAGCAGUGGGGAAUAUUGCACAAUGGGCGCAAGCCUGAUGCAGCCAUGCCGCGUGUAUGAAGAAGGCCUUCGGGUUGUAAAGUACUUUCAGUGGGGAGGCGUUACCCAAAGAAGAAGCACCGGCUAACUCCGUGCCAGCAGCCGCGGUAAUAC
rnacentral:rRNA from 1 species